GCUCUAACCACUAGGCUACCUGCUCUAACCACUAGGCUACCUGCUGUGUCAUUUCAGACGAUGUGUUUUUCACAAGGGGCUUUUCUAAGAAUCUGGUUUUCAACAGAAACAUUAUAUUGUUAAAAUAAUUCUUAAAAUAUCGUUUGUAUUAUAAUUUGUCCAUAUUUGUUUGUUACAUUUUGUAAAUAAUAUAUAUAUUUUUAAACAGCUUAUUCCUCUCUCCAAUGCUGCUCUCCGUCUCUCACACAGUGACUUAUAAAAAACGCAUGCAUAGUUUUGAACAUGAUAGAUAUACUAGAUCAUAGUGGAUUGAGUCUUGAGAGUUUGAUAAUUCAAAAUUCUUCCAAAUAAAUGUUUUCCAUGUCAAUAUAAGCUUGUCGGUGUAAGUUGAUUUUGUCAGAUAACCAUGACAUCUGUCAUAUCAGAUCCUACUAGAUACGUUUAAUAUAUUUGAUUGAAUUCUAAUAAUUUGCCCAAACUUCAGAGAAAAUCUUCCACCUUGUGGUGUGUGUCAUAGCAAGGCGCCAGAGAGGGUGACCCCGACGUGACGUCAUCACAGCACGCCAACCCGUUUGGGUUUCUCUUGCAGAAGAUAAAAGAGACUGAAAAGUGCCUCUUUCUCCGACCUAUACGAGCGUUUUAUGUUUCUCUGUAGACUCCAUGCCCCUUCGCCGUCUGAUGAACGGAUGUUAGCGUAUUUUACGGGGGGGAAAAAGGGGCCAAAAUCAGAUUUAUUUCGAGUGCAAAGACUGGAUAAAACGCCACUGUACUUGCAACAACGGCCAUCUGUUUUCGGUGAAGUUUUAUCGACCAGGAUGCCCCAGCCCUCUUCUCCCAUCUGAAGACGGUAGGACAGUAGUCUGGAGAUGAAACAGGAUCCAUUGACCAAGGGUGGUAACACCGCCACAUCCUGUCCAGGAAGGAUAGACUCUAUUGGGGGAGAAAAGAGAAAGGGAGAUGAGGAGUUCAUUUGUCGAGAGGAGGAAGAAGGGGAGGUGGUCAGCGUUGCUAUAGUGACCAUAGCGGAGGAGUCCUGCCCUUCCGAACCGUUUGGAACCGUCGCCCACAGGGAGGUAGCAGCCAAUGAGAGUGGGGUGAGGGAUGGAGACUGCCAAUCAAAAACUAAUCAAAGUACCCAAACUGAAGAAGAGGAGAAGCAUGAGGAGGGGGAAGGAGGAGAGGAGGGAGAGGAGGAGGAAGAAGAGAUGGCUGAAGAUGAGAGUGACCAUUCUGCCCUGUUGGAGGAGGAUGAGGGAAGGAACCAGGUGUUUGUCUCGGAUGAUAACUUGGGGUUGUCGGACAGUCUGACCCCUGGAAAACCAACACUCCUCAACGUCAAGGUAAGAAAACGCACCUCCCCUCUAGUCUAAUUCAGAGUCCAGGAGAGCGAUGACCCGGCGUGCCAUUGUGACGGGGCUCUGAGAUCACUGUUCACGGGGGAUGCACGGGCCGCGCACCUCCCCGAAAUGACCAACCAACGCUCAUCUGGGGCGUCCUUUAUUAUUAGUUGUUUGUGUUGUGUGUGUGUGUAGACAGUUGGAUACAGAACUUGAGCUCCUCUGAGAAUGAGCUCCAACGGUCCAGUAUUCUAGAACACCGCUGUGCCCUUCCGGAACCGCUGUGCCCUUCCGGAACAUGUUUUCAGAUUCUGAUGAGCACAUCACACGGGUCCGUUUCCAGCCGGACGACACGGCAGAUCUCAGAGAGCUGUUUAAACACAUUAUAAUAAUCUAUUACCAUCUGAUGGGCGACGUCUCAGUCCAUGAUGUGACACGCACCCUUUGGUGGGCGCAACGCAUCUCGUCGGGCAGGAAGUUGACCAAUGGUGUAUGUUUUAAACAGCAACUGGUUCGUGACUGGGGGUUUUAAACAGGAACUGGUUCGUUACUGUUGGUUUUAAACGGGAACUGGUUCGUUACUGUUGGUUUUAAACGGGAACUGGUUCGUUACUGUUGGUUUUAAACGGGAACUGGUUCGUUACUGUUGGUUUU
rnacentral:lncRNA from 13 species